UCUGUACCGCGUUAGAGCGGAGAGGAAAGAAGUGGACAGAGCCGCAGCUCCUGAAAUCUCCGGUAAAUCCAUGCCGUACGAGUUUGACAUCAGAGUCCCCUUCUUCAUCAGAGGACCCAACGUGGAGCAAGGCAGCAUUAACCAUCACAUCGUUCUGAACAUCGAUCUGGCUCCGACCAUCCUGGACAUCGCCGGCCUCGACACUCCACCAGACAUGGACGGGAAGUCGAUUCUGUCUCUGCUGGACACUGACAAACCUGCUA